rnacentral:rRNA from 1 species
UUUAUUAGUUAUAAUUAAUAAUAAAGCCUGCUCAAUGAAAAUUAAAUAGCCGCUUAUAGUGCUAAGGUAGCAUAAUAAUUUGUCUUUUAAUUAAAGACUAGAAUAAAAGGCUUAACAUCUUAAUUAAUUUUUAAAGAAAAUUAAUUAAAAUUAUCUUAAUUGUAAAAAGACAAUUUUUAAAAAGAAAGACGAUAAGACCCUAUUGAACUUUACUUUAGUUUAACUGGGGCAGUUAAUUAAUUAUUAUUUUAAAAAAAAUUUAAAUUAUUAAUUUGACCUAAUAUAAUUAAUAAAAUAAUUAAGUUACCAUAGGGAUAACAGCGUAAUAAAAUUUUAAAGAUCUUAUAAAAAAUAAAGAUUGCGACCUCGAUGUUGAUUUAAUAUCCUAAUUUACGCAAUAGUUAAUUAAGGAAGUCUGUUCGACUUUUAAAAAAUUACAUGAUUUGAGUUCAGACCGGUGUAAACCAGGUCGGUUUCUAUCUUCUAAAUUAUUUCUUCUAGUACGAAAGGACCUAAGAAAAUAAUAAUAUU